rnacentral:rRNA from 1 species
CCCUUAGAUGUUCUGGGCAGCACGCGCGCUACAAUGGUCUUCGCAAACGGAUGCAUUCUCGAAGGAGAAUGCCAAUCUUGGAAUCUAUGCCUUGGUCGGGACAGUUGCUUGCAAUUUUUCGACUCGAACCAGGAAUUCCUUGUAAUCGUGAUUCAUCACAUCACGAUGAAUACGUCCCUGCCCUUUGUACACACCGCCCGUCGCUCCUACCGAUUGAGUGGUCCGGUGAGGCUUUGGGAUCUGAGCGGAAAGAGCGUUUCGCUGUUUCUGCUCGGAAAACUCAGUCGAACCUUAUCAUUUAGAGGAAGGAGAAGUCGUAACA